rnacentral:lncRNA from 1 species
AGCAGUUGGAGCUCAUUGCAAAAGAAAUUCUUUCACCUUUGUAUAUGAUAUUCCAUCAUUUCACGGAGACAAUCAGGUAUGUUGUCUUUUGAUGAGUUCUUUUGUGCUUUGAAUGGAUACAAGUUGUAUCAUAGCAUAGUGGCUAAACUUCUCAAGAUGAAUGUUAUAGUUUCUACUGUUCCAAGAUGGGUUGAAUCUGGAGGGUGAGAGAAACCAUUAUCUCUCUCAUCAAUGUGGCUGGAUUUGAACUACUAUGAGUUUAAAUAGUGUAUUAUGCACAGUCAUGGUAAUAUUAUGGAUGGGAGGUUUCCUAAAUACUGCAUGUUUAUGUUCUUAUGCAAAAUAUUUUCAUUAUUAUACGAUAUAGGUGUUAUGUGUAUAUGACUUCUAUUCGAUAACUUGAAAUAUAUUUAUAUCAUUAUACAUAGAUUAUACAUAUCAUUCCAUAAAUAAAAAAUCUACAAAGAGAAUCAAAGUCACAUGUAAAAAAAAGUGGCUUCAAAAGCACAUAUUUCUCAGAAACUUAAAAAAAAAAACCACAAACAGAAACAAGAAAAGGUCCAUUUAACUCAAGGAAGGGACCUAUGUCAAUGGAAAAUAAAUCUUGACUCGACAAGAACAAGACAACAUGGAAUUGGCCUCCAGAAAUAGAUUGAAAUUAUAAAAUCUUACUCAGAAAUUGAAGAAAGAAGCUACAAACAGAAACAAUAAAUCUUGACCCAAGGAAGGGACCUAUGUCAAGGAAAAAUAAAUCUUGACUAAACCCCAAGAGGCCCUUUACAGCUAAUAGCCUAAUAUGGCAAAUAAAACAAUCAAGUGGCAAAAUCCUCAAAUAGAGGAUUAGAGUCCCCAUCAUCUCAUGUGCGUUGCUAAGGGAAGACUCUAUUG